rnacentral:rRNA from 1 species
UCGAGAAUUUUUCACAAUGGGCGCAAGCCUGAUGGAGCGACGCCGCGUGGGGGAUGAAGGGCUUCGGCUCGUAAACCCCUGUCAUUUGCGAACAAACCCUCAUAUUGAACAAGUAUGAGGUUGAUUGUAGCGAAAGAGGAAGGGACGACUAACUCUGUGCCAGCAGCCGCGGUAAUACAGAGGUCCCGAGCGUUGUUCGGAUUCACUGGGCGUAAAGGGUGCGUAGGUGGUGGGGUAAGUCUCGUGUGAAAGCUCGCAGCUUAACUGCGAAAAGUCACGGGAUACUAUCCGGCUAGAGGCUUGGAGGGGGGACUGGAAUACUUGGUGUAGCAGUGAAAUGCGUAGAUAUCAAGUGGAACACCAGUGGCGAAGGCGAGUCCCUGGACAAGACCUGACACUGAGGCACGAAAGCCAGGGGAGCAACAG